CCAAAACCAGGCUCUCAGUAAGGGCUGGGAAUGAAUGAAUGAAUGAAUGUCUUUUCUUCAGCAAAAACUCGCACGUAUCCAGCUUGCGCAAGCAAAGGGGUCGCUGAGGUUGACAAUUAAAAUGGAUUCGAAUCCUGACCCUCUGCCCAGCUCCGGGCAAAUGACUGAGCUUUCUCAGCCUCUCUUUUUUGCUCUAUAAAAUGGGGUCCCCAGCCAAACUGCUUCCGUCGAGAGUGAGAGUGGUUCUACCGCCCGGCUCUGCGGAGGAGGCGGCGCUCUGCAAAACCGCGUCGGGGACACGUAGCCGCGAACUCCUUCGGCGUGCCGGGCUCGGCGCUGGCGCUGGGGCUCACAGGUGAACUCGACGUGGGUCUGCCCUGCGGGAGCGUUCUGGCUUGUGUGGUCACCGGGGACGUGGACGUCGGGGCAGGAGGGACACCCGGGCCAGAGACAGAGCUGCUGUGCUUUUCUGCCACCCCUCCUCCACCACUCCUUCUAGACUUCUGGAGGACGACGACAACAAAACACUAAAUGCAAGUUUAGAGGAGGGGGAAGUCUUCAGGCUUCCUCCAGAACGUGGGCUGUAGAAGUGACCUGUUACAGGCGUGCGCAGGAGUCGCAACAAGGUGGAAUUUGGGUUUUCUUUUUCUUUCUUUUUUUCCCCUCUUUUCUUUUCCUUCUUUUUUUCUUUUUUUGUUUGUGUGUGUGUUUUUACCUUUUAUUAUUUAAAUUGAUACGUUUCAUUACUAGGGAGAAAAAUAAAAUAUUCCUUUGAUACACAAAAUCAAAUUGAUAUUUAGCCUCUGCUUACUUUUUUAUGCAUGGCUCCUUUAUACCACAUGGUAGUGACAGAUUGUUUGAGCUGGAAGGAAAAGCCAUUCAAAGCUAAUUAAGCAGCCAUUCCAAGCACUAUUUGCAAGCGGGAGGCUCAGAAGCCUCGGCAUUUGUCAGCGCUCCCCCACCCCGCGUG